rnacentral:rRNA from 1 species
AUUGAACGCUGGCGGGAUGCCUUACACAUGCAAGUCGAACGAGUGGCGAACGGGUGAGUAAUGUAUCGGAACGUGCCCAGUAGCGGGGGAUAACUAUUGGAAACGAUAGCUAAUACCGCAUACUUUUGGAUGGACCUGCGUUGUAUUAGCUAGUUGGUGAGGUAAAGGCUCACCUAGGCGACGAUCCCUAGCUGGUCUGAGAGGAUGACCAGCCACACUGGAACUGAGACACGGUCCAGACUCCUACGGGAGGCAGCAGUGGGGAAUAUUGCACAAUGGGCGCAAGCCUGAUGCAGCCAUGCCGCGUGUAUGAAGAAGGCCUUCGGGUUGUAAAGUACUUUCAGCGAGGAGGCGUUACUCGCAGAAGAAGCACCGGCUAACUCCGUGCCAGCAGCCGCGGUAAUUC